CUGAGAGUAGCGCCAUCUACUGGGGGCAGAUGUGAACAAAAAAAACUAUAUACAGUGGAGAAAAUCAGAAUGUAAGGGACUAUACUGAUCCUUUAGUUCAUCUCGGUCUUUUUAAAACGCUGAAGUAGUAAAAUGUCAAAUGUCAAAUGUAAGUUUACGAAAGCUACAAAAGCUUUAAAGCUCCCUGGGGAAGCUUUUGACAACUUUACGAAAGCUCCUUUGGAAAAAGCUAUCGUUUAACAGUCGGUUUCAAUGAUCUGGCAAGGCUGUCAACUGUCAUUUUGAUGAACCUGUUGCUCGACGCUUGUCCUUGGCGCUUGCACGCUUUUAAGUACAGAUGAACUGGCGCUCGUAUGUGGGUCAAACAGCUGACUCUGAGACCCGCUGCGCAUGUGACCAAACCAAGGCCCUCUCUGGCUCUCUUUUUGGCAUUUUUUUUUGGCUGUGUGGAGCAAGCAGCCUGGGUUGACUUUGUACUUCGCUUAGUCCUGCGGUAGAUUAGCUUGUGUGUGGUCAGUGCGGAGAUGCGACAAACAAAAAACUCUGAAUUGCGCGUUUUGUGUGUGAUUUCCCUGAUAUUCCUUCUAUUAUUCCAACUCUUCAGCAAAUCCUCAUUGUUUAUGUGCAGUUGAUUUUGUUGUUGAUGGUGGGCGGGUGGAAAAGUCCAAGUCCCAGCCCAAGCCCAAGCAAGCGCAAACAACUCUAACCUCAACCUCAGAGUCCGUGUGCAAAACAGCUGUUCAAGGGCUCCAAAGAGCUCGAGAGAGCAGGUGCAUGCGUGGCGUCGCCAGACCGUUGCUGGACGAGCCCGCUGCUGUUUAUAAAAGUACCGUGCAGCACUCGCUCCGAGUCAGUCACGUGCUUGCAUUCCGACGCAUUCGAUACGCGGGUCGCCGUCUCAGUUUUUCUACGUCGCUCGUACGAGUGAUCCGUUCGACAAAUUAGCCGUAGCCGUAGCCGUAGCCGUAACGGUACACGUUCACGUACACGUACGGAGCCGUAGCCGUAGUCGUCGUCGUUAUAGCCGUCGUAGUCGUAGUCGCAAUCGUUGCGGUCGUCGCGCUGAGGUUUGAUUGGCUGCCAAUUGCAACGGGAUAAGAAUGCCAGGACUUCGCUUUAGUUAGCAAACAAAAAAACACAAAAACCAGACAAAUUGAAACAAGAGUUGACCAGAAAGGCGUUGUCCUCAUUGACAAUUUUUGUAAUUCCCAACAACAGACAAUCUAUAUCUAUAUAUCCAUCAUUUUAGAGCGCAAAGUCAGGCAGGCUUCUAUAGGCGUGAUUUCUUGAGGCGAGUUCUGUUUUGAUAGCCCCAAAAAUUUAAUUGAAUCAAUUUCAGCCUCUAGCUGGUAGUCGAAAUUCGCGGCGAAAGCUCACUCUUCACCAAUCCAAUCCAAUCCAAUCAAUCAACCAAUCAAUCAAUCAAGCUUGUACAAAUUCUUUAGUGCCAGAAAAUACUAUCUAUGCCACAAUUCUACAACAAACUCUAUUCUAUGUACUGUAAAUAACCAAUAAUCUUUGCUAACCUAGAACUAAAGUAGUUGACUUAUCUGUAGCACCAACUGCAAUAAGAACUAUGUAAAAAACCAUCUGGAGCUAGAGGCUCAGCUCGCUUUGCAUUUUGUCCUUUGCCAUUUCGUGUCCUUUGUGCUUGUAAUCGUACUACACCUCUUGUACACCAUCCAACACAAUACUCCCCGAUGCUGUGUGGAGUGGAACACCGUUUGUGAACGGCACCGCGAACUGCAAUCACUUAACAGAAUAAGAGACAAGAGAAUCGCAAUUGUAUAGAACAUUUAACACAACUAUCGAGAUCCAAGUCCACACUUAAGUACCCAUCCCUAUAAAUACACAUAUAUACCACUUACAUACCACAUACUAACACACCAUACACCAUGCGCGUUAUCGUACUGAAAAAGAAUCGCCCUAACAAGCGCGGCACGCCCACGGCAACAGCGGCAACCGCGUCGCGCGAGCCGCCAAAAAAAACGGCGUACGCAAAAGUAAGAAUAAAUUCGAUAUAUUCAAUAUUUGGUUUAAAAUUUUUGCCGAUAUGAUGCCGAUAGGACGGAAUGGAGUGCAAUGGGCCGGGAUGCUCUGUAUGCGCGUAGAGAAAUCACGAGCAGUAGAGAGCAUGUCAGUCCUUUGCUUCCUGCCCAAUUUGCCAGUGCAAUCAAUUUUUGAGAUUUACUUAUUUUGCUCGAUUUAUGCAAAUUUUUCACGCCAAAACUUUGCUCACCGCGCAUAUACGUACUUGUAUUAGAUCUCCAAUGGAAGUGCAAUGAACUUGUAAUCUUAUCAGCAUGUUUUAGUAGCCAUCUUUACAAAAUUAGCUCAAAAAUUGGUUGUAGUGGCCUGGCAUGAUAUACUAUAUUUAUCCAUUAAACUAUGACUAUUAAUAAAUCUUUAUGUAUUAGCCAGAACUGUAUUUAUUUCGCAUAUUCAUACGCUGGAUAAAGCCAUAUUAUAGACUUUAAGAAUUAGCUUAAAUAGUGUCAAUGUUGUGCUUGGAAUUUUAAGCUAACUAAAAUAUGUAUGUACUCGUAUGUGGAUUGCAAAGGGAGGACAAUUCUUGUUUGUCGGCGAGGGACUCUAAGUAUCCUCGCUGGCCG
rnacentral:sRNA from 1 species